CGUGAGUGAUGAAGGCUUUCGGGUCGUAAAGCUCUGUCAAGUGGGAAGAACAUGCUUGAUGCUAAUACCAUCUUGCACUGACGGUACCACUGAAGGAAGCACCGGCUAACUCCGUGCCAGCAGCCGCGGUAAUACGGGGGGUGCAAGCGUUAUUCGGAAUUAUUGGGCGUAAAGGGCGCGUAGGCGGUCUCUUAAGUCAGAUGUGAAAGCCCGGGGCUUAACCCCGGAAGUGCAUUUGAAACUAAGGGACUUGAGUAUGGGAGAGGGAAGUGGAAUUCCUGGUGUAGAGGUGAAAUUCGUAGAUAUCAGGAGGAACACCGGUGGCGAAGGCGACUUCCUGGACCAAUACUGACGCUGAGGCGCGAAGGCGUGGGGAGCAAACAGGAUUAGAUACCCUGGUAGUCCACGCAGUAAACGGUGAACACUAGGUGUAGCGGGUAUUGACCCCUGCUGUGCCGUAGCUAACGCAUUAA
rnacentral:rRNA from 1 species